AUAUUCUGGUUUCUUGUCAGAAUAAAGAAAUCUUUCGCCUUUAAGAAGAUUCCCAUGGAAAGGGACAGUUAUGAAUUCGUAACCAAACUUUUUAAGGCCUUACUUAGGCAGGGCU
ensembl:snRNA U5 U5 spliceosomal RNA